rnacentral:rRNA from 1 species
AGCGAACGCUGGCGGUAGGCCUAACACAUGCAAGUCGAACGGCAGCACAGUAAGAGCUUGCUCUUACGGGUGGCGAGUGGCGGACGGGUGAGGAAUACAUCGGAAUCUACUUUUUCGUGGGGGAUAACGUAGGGAAACUUACGCUAAUACCGCAUACGACCUACGGGUGAAAGGAGGGGAUAUUCGGACCUUGCGCGAAUGAAUGAGCCGAUGUUGGGUUAGCUAGUUGGCGGGGUAAAGGCCCACCAAGGCGACGAUCCGUAGCUGGUCUGAGAGGAUGAUCAGCCACACUGGAACUGAGACACGGUCCAGACUCCUACGGGAGGCAGCAGUGGGGAAUAUUGGACAAUGGGCGCAAGCCUGAUCCAGCCAUACCGCGUGGGUGAAGAAGGCCUUCGGGUUGUAAAGCCCUUUUGUUGGGAAAGAAAAGCAGCAGGUUAAUACCCCGCUGUUCUGACGGUACCCAAAGAAUAAGCACCGGCUAACUUCGUG